CCUACCAAGGCAGCGAUCAGUAGCUGGUCUGAGAGGAUGAGCAGCCACACUGGGGCUGAGACACGGCCCAGACUCCUACGGGAGGCAGCAGUGGGGAAUUUUCCGCAAUGGGCGAAAGCCUGACGGAGCAAUACCGCGUGAGGGAGGAAGGCCUUUGGGUUGUAAACCUCUUUUCUCAGGGAAGAAGAACUGACGGUACCUGAGGAAUAAGCAUCGGCUAACUCCGUGCCAGCAGCCGCGGUAAUACGGAGGAUGCAAGCGUUAUCCGGAAUCAUUGGGCGUAAAGCGUCCGCAGGUGGUUUUUCAAGUCUGCUGUUAAAGACUGGAGCUCAACUCCGGAAAGGCAGUGGAAACUGAGAAACUAGAGUUCGGUAGGGGUAGCGGGAAUUCCCAGUGUAGCGGUGAAAUGCGUAGAUAUUGGGAAGAACAUCGGUGGCGAAGGCGCGCUACUGGACCGAAACUGACACUCAGGGACGAAAGCUAGGGGAGCGAAAGGUAUUAGAUACCCCUGUAGUCCUAGCUGUAAACGAUGGAAACUAGGUGUGGCUUGUAUCGACCCGAGCCGUGCCGUAGCUAACGCGUUAAGUUUCCCGCCUGGGGAGUACGCACGCAAGUGUGAAACUCAAAGGAAUUGACGGGGGCCCGCACAAGCGGUGGAGUAUGUGGUUUAAUUCGAUGCAACGCGAAGAACCUUACCAGGGCUUGACAUGUCGCGAAUCUCCUUGAAAGGGGAGAGUGCCUUCGGGAGCGCGAACACAGGUGGUGCAUGGCUGUCGUCAGCUCGUGUCGUGAGAUGUUGGGUUAAGUCCCGCAACGAGCGCAACCCUCGUCUUUAGUUGCCAGCAUUAAGGUGGGCACUUUAGAGAGACUGCCGGUGACAAACCGGAGGAAGGUGGGGAUGACGUCAAGUCAGCAUGCCCCUUACGCCCUGGGCUACACACGUACUACAAUGGUUGGGACAAAGGGCAGCGACCCCGCGAGGGAAAGCGAAUCUCAUCAAACCCAGCCUCAGUUCAGAUUGCAGGCUGCAACUCGCCUGCAUGAAGGAGGAAUCGCUAGUAAUCGCAGGUCAGCAUACUGCGGUGAAUUCGUUCCCGGGCCUUGUACACACCGCCCGUCACACCAUGGAAGCUGGUCACGCCCGAAGUAGUUACCCUAACCUUUCGGGGGGGGGGACUCCUAAGGCAGGGCUAGUGACUGGGGUGAAGUCGUAACAAGGUAGCCGUACCGGAAGGUGUGGCUG
rnacentral:rRNA from 1 species